rnacentral:rRNA from 1 species
AAAUUGAAGAGUUUGAUCAUGGCUCAGAUUGAACGCUGGCGGCAGGCCUAACACAUGCAAGUCGAACGGUAACAGGAAGCAGCUUGCUGCUUUGCUGACGAGUGGCGGACGGGUGAGUAAUGUCUGGGAAACUGCCUGAUGGAGGGGGAUAACUACUGGAAACGGUGGCUAAUACCGCAUAACGUCGCAAGACCAAAGAGGGGGACCUUCGGGCCUCUUGCCAUCAGAUGUGCCCAGAUGGGAUUAGCUUGUUGGUGAGGUAACGGCUCACCAAGGCGACGAUCCCUAGCUGGUCUGAGAGGAUGACCAGCCACACUGGAACUGAGACACGGUCCAGACUCCUACGGGAGGCAGCAGUGGGGAAUAUUGCACAAUGGGCGCAAGCCUGAUGCAGCCAUGCCGCGUGUAUGAAGAAGGCCUUCGGGUUGUAAAGUACUUUCAGCGGGGA